GACGAACGCUGGCGGCGUGCUUAACACAUGCAAGUCGAACGGUAAGGCCCUUCGGGGUACACGAGUGGCGAACGGGUGAGUAACACGUGGGUGAUCUGCCCUGCACUUCGGGAUAAGCCUGGGAAACUGGGUCUAAUACCGGAUAGGACCACUGCCUGCAUGGGUGGUGGGGGAAAGCUUUUGCGGUGUGGGAUGGGCCCGCGGCAUAUCAGCUUGUUGGUGGGGUGAUGGCCUACCAAGGCGACGACGGGUAGCCGGCCUGAGAGGGUGACCGGCCACACUGGGACUGAGAUACGGCCCAGACUCCUACGGGAGGCAGCAGUGGGGAAUAUUGCACAAUGGGCGCAAGCCUGAUGCAGCGACGCCGCGUGAGGGAUGACGGCCUUCGGGUUGUAAGCCUCUUUCAGCACCGACGAAGCGCAAGUGACGGUAGGUGCAGAAGAAGGACCGGCCAACUACGUGCCAGCCGCCGCCGUAA
rnacentral:rRNA from 1 species